GGACACAGGGGGGGUGAGCAGCUGAACGUCCCAAAAUCACCCCAAAACCGCCCCAAAAGCACAGCCCAGCUCCCCCAGCAGCGGCAGUUUGAGGUGCUGGGCUCAGAUUCUGCAGGGGAGGUGCCUGAAGGGAAUUUCAGAGCAAGGAGAGAUGGGGAUGGGACAGGAGAUGCUGAGGGGUGGGGAUAGGAGAGAGGGGAGAAGAGGGGGAACACUGGGAGAAAAUGCUCCUGAUCUGCUGGGGCAUCCCCAGCCAGUCCCAGGCCCCAGUAUUGGGGUGUAUCCAUCGCCCCCAGUUUGGGAUUCCCCAGUUCCCAGUCCCACUCUGGGGUUUUCCCUGCUCUCCACACCCUCACCUUUAAAUCCACCAGGUCCUUUUUGCUUUAACCAGGCUGGGACAGUUUUAGGAGGUCCCACUCAUGGCUGUGGCCACCCCAUCCCAUUCCUGACCAUCCCUCCUGGACAGCCAGAUUUUGGUGCCAUUUUGGUGCCAGAACUCCUUCCCAGGAUAUUUUUUGCCUUUUUUUUGUUUUGGUUUUGUUUUUUUUUUUUGGCAGGAAGAUUUUCUUCUCCUAAGGGAAAAAGGGACACCAGAGCAUUCCCCACCAGGAGCUGAGAGCCAAGCAGAACCCCCAAUUCCCUGCACUCAACAUUUCCCAAAUUCCCAGAGCUGCUCCCUCCCUCACCUGGCAGCUUUCAUCCAUCCCCAAAUCCUCCACAAGCUGCUGCAUCCCCAGCUCAGCGUGGGGAUAUUCCAGCUCCCUCCUUCCCUCCGGCUGCUAUUUCUGUCUGUUCCCCCCAGGAACCCGGGAUCCUUCCCUGCCAUUGUAUCCCCGGCUCCCGUGGAGCACAAUGCAGUGUCCCACACCUCCCCUGGGAAAGCACCUUCCUGACAAACACCUCCCUCUCCACCAACAUUUCCCUGAUUUCCAGCCCUUGCACCGGGCUGGGUGAUGAAAUUUCCGUUCUGUGGGAGAACUGAACUCUAAAACAUGGAGGUUUUGUUCCAAAAUCGGGAUGAAAAGGCAAAAAAAUUUUCUCGUCGAGUGAAAGAUUUUGGCUGGGAGUGAUCCAAGUGCUUUGUUUUGAUUAUGCUGAGCUGCUUCAUUUUCCCAAAGCAAACCCAUUUUGCUUCAAAAACAUCGGCACAGCUCCGCUGUCAGCUCUGCACUGAGCACUUGUGCCAGAGUCAGAUUGAGACAUUUCCACUCUAAACAAAAGCAAGAGCUCGAAAUGAAUCAUUUCAGCUCGUGCCUUGUCAGAAUCCACACAAAAACCGGGCUGGAAAUGUGGGAUUUGGCCAUUUUAUAAGCAAGCUGCUGCUCCUGGUUUCCAUUUCUGUUGUUAACUCUUUUCAUCCAUGUCCCUGGAGGUGUAAAAACCCCUUCCCAUCAUCUUCCUCUGCUGGAAAAGGGUCAGCGCUUUGGAGCUGAGCUUCUCCCAGCAUCUCCAGCAGGUUGGAGUGGUUUAAAUAAAAUAAAAUAAAAUAAAAUAAAAU